rnacentral:rRNA from 1 species
UCGGGAAUUUUGGGCAAUGGGCGAAAGCCUGACCCAGCAACGCCGCGUGAAGGAUGAGGUAUUUCGGUAUGUAAACUUCGUAAGAAUAGGAAGAAUAAAUGACGGUACUAUUUGUAAGGUCCGGCUAACUACGUGCCAGCAGCCGCGGUAAUACGUAGGGACCAAGCGUUGUUCGGAUUUACUGGGCGUAAAGGGCGCGUAGGCGGUGUGUCAAGUCAGUUGUGAAAUCUCCGAGCUUAACUCGGAACGGUCAACUGAUACUGUCACACUAGAGUACAGAAGGGGCAAUCGGAAUUCUUGGUGUAGCGGUGAAAUGCGUAGAUAUCAAGAGGAACACCUGAGGCGAAGGCGGGUUGCUGGGCUGAUACUGACGCUGAGGCGCGAAAGCUAGGGUAGCAAACGGGAUUAGAUACCCUCGUAGUCCCUGAGCGGGCUGGCAAGGCGCAU